rnacentral:rRNA from 1 species
GAAGAGGAAAGUCGUAACAUGGUAAGUCUACCGGAAGGUGGCCUUGGAA